UACAAAUUCCUUUCACACUUAAUCUCAUCAUAAAACCAACAAAAUUCAAAAACCAUCAAGCCCUCCAUUAAAUCGAAAAAAACAUCAUCUUGGCAAUAGUUGAAUUUUUCUUGGGAAUUUCGCCUAUCCCUGAGAUUUUCUGGGUGGAUUUUGUUAUCAGGUCGCGAAUUUAAAAGGGUUUUGACUUUGGGAGGAGAUGAAGAUCGGUGACGAUGAUCGGAGUUCGUCGGCAUGUGGAUGAUUCCAGUGGCGCAUUGAUUAUCAAUCAUGGUGAUUCCUAGGGUUUCUGGUGCGUAAAUUUUUGGGGAUUUUGUUUGGAUUUUUGGCCCGCAUUCGGUACCGAGUGCCAGAAAUUAUCCAGUCCUGUACUUCUACAAGGAAAUACAAAGUAGCACUUAUGAAGUUGUCAAGGGAAAUGUACAUUCAGCCGUUGUAAAACCCGAAAGCAAGCCGAAGCUUUGAGCUCAGAGAGAGAUAGUAGUCAUCAUUCAAAUCCGAGUUCAAAUCCUAUUUUUGAGCCUUUUGUUUCGUCGGUGGUCAGAUGGUCUACAAAUUGGAAAGAUACGCCAUACGCCAAUGCAAUAGUUUGAGAACAUAAUAUGGGAAACUUUGGGAAGGACAUAUAUGCGAAAGGAAGACUGACAAUGGGUUGGUGGGUAAACUGAACGUUUUAAAAUCAUAUUCUAUUCCGUAAUAUAACACUAUUGCGUUUGGACUAGCAACAUUUAAAUGGUGUCACCUAGAAAGUUGGUUGUUGUAUCAUGUCAUGUAUUUUUAAGUUGGAGAUUUUUUAGGUAGCCAGCUCGAGGAAAUGGCCCUCAGUUUCUAAUUUUGUUUGGGUUUGAGGCCAUCAUUGGCGUUAAGGCGUUUAUUGUCAGACCAUGUGUGUUUUUUGGUUGUGUUUGUGCUGGGACAACAUUUUCCACCUUCUGUGACUGCGUUUUAAAAUUAUUGAGGCUUCAGUGUUUGAGUCGCUUAGAUUGCUAAAGAAUUCAGCAAAAAGGCUUUCCAGACACAGCCGAUUUUUUACUUCCAAGGUUCGUGCAUGCUUCUCCAUAAUUUCAUCGGUUAACUUUUUUUAGUUACAUUUCCUUUUCUGUUCUAAAUUAUUGUGUUUUAGUGCUGCCUUUGUUAUAUCAACUUUGAAAUUUCAACACAAUUUUCUAAAAUAUAAUGUUUUUUUUCCGGAACUUUACAUAUUUCUGAGUAUACACUGCAUUUGUUAAGGUAUUUUUCAUUCUUUUCGAUGUUGGUAUCUUGAAACAGACAAUGUAGCUAUCUGAAAUAUUCACUAUUGCAGGGCGGCUCAGUAUAACAUUCGCAAAGGUUUUUUUCUCUUUCCCAUCUCCAUAUACAUAUGAUGAAUGCAAUUAAGAAGUCUAAUGUAUGGUAACAUUUUAUAGCAAAUUUUCUGGAAAUUUUCAACAGGCAAAUUCAGUUGAUCUU